AGCGAACGCUGGCGGCAGGCCUAACACAUGCAAGUCGAGCGCACCGCAAGGGGAGCGGCAGACGGGAGAGUAACACGUGGGAACAUGCCAUGCAGCUCGGAACAACCCAGGGAAACUUGGGCUAAUACCGAAUACGUCCGCAAGGAGAAAGAUUUAUCGCUGAAGGAUUGGCCCGCGUCCGAUUAGCUAGUUGGUGGGGUAAUGGCCCACCAAGGCGACGAGCGGUAGCGGGUCUGAGAGGAUGAGCAGCCUCACUGGGACUGCGACACGGCCCAGGCUCCAACGGUAGGCGGCAGGGGGGAAUAUUGAAUAAUGGGCGAAAGCCUGAUCCAGCCAUGCCGGGUGGGGGAUGAAGGCCCUAGGGUUGUAAAGCCCAUUCGGCGGGGAAGAUAAUGACGGUACCCGCAGAAGAAGCCCCGGCUAACUUCGUGCCAGCAGCCGCGGUAAUAC
rnacentral:rRNA from 1 species